UUAACCUUUAAGAAAGUCCAGCGAGGCUUCCAAGGUUUCGGGUGAAGGAAGAGUGAGAAAACCGACUCUUUAUUUUCGUGAGGCCUUGUGUAUAUGCAAGGUCUUUUUUAAU
rfam:Streptococcus intermedius B196, complete genome.